GACAAACGCUGGCGGGGUGCGUGAGACAUGCAAGUCGGACGGGGUUCUAUCGGCGUUGCUCGGUAGAACCUAGUGGCGGACGGCUGAGUAACGCGUAGGUGACCUGCCCGGAAGUGGGGAAUAACUGCCCGAAAGGGUGGCUAAUACCGCAUGUGGUCGUCGAAUCAGUUCGCCGACUAAAGGAGUAAUCCGCUUCCGGAGGGGCCUGCGUCCGAUUAGCUAGUUGGUGAGGUAACGGCCCACCAAGGCGACGAUCGGUAGCUGGUCUGAGAGGAUGAUCAGCCAGACUGGGACUGAGAACGGCCCAGACUCCUACGGGAGGCAGCAGGUCGGGAAUUUUGCCCAAUGGACGAAAGUCUGAGGCAGCAACUCCGCGUGAGGGAUGAA
rnacentral:rRNA from 1 species